AUCACUUGUGGAUCUUGUUAGACUGCAGGCUCCAGUUAUGUAGGUCCAGGAGGGGCUGGGAUUCUGCAGUUCUAACAAGGUCCCAGGUGAUGCCAA
rnacentral:pre_miRNA from 1 species